rnacentral:rRNA from 1 species
GACGACGCUGGCGGCGUGCCUAAUACAUGCAAGUAGAACGAGUUGCGAACGGGUGAGUAACGCGUGGUAACCUGCCUCAUAGCGGGGGAUAACUAUUGGAAACGAUAGCUAAUACCGCAUACCAUUGGAUGUGCCCAGGUGGGAUUAGCCAGUUGGUGGGGUAAUGGCCCACCUAGGCGACGAUCCCUAGCUGGUCUGAGAGGAUGACCAGCCACACUGGAACUGAGACACGGUCCAGACUCCUACGGGAGGCAGCAGUGGGGAAUUUUGGACAAUGGGGGAAACCCUGAUCCAGCCAUCCCGCGUGUACGAUGAAGGCCUUCGGGUUGUAAAGCACUUUUGGCAGGAAAGCGGUACCUGCAGAAUAAGCACCGGCUAACUACGUGCCAGCAGCCGCGGUAAUAC